rnacentral:rRNA from 1 species
GGGAUUGCCUCGGUAACGGCGAGUGAAGCGGCAACAGCUCAAAUUUGAAAUCUGGCCCCUUUGGGGUCCGAGUUGUAAUUUGUAGAGAGUGUUUCGGGUGAGACCACGGUCUAAGUCCAUUGGAACAUGGCGUCAUAGAGGGUGAGAAUCCCGUAUGUGACUGUGGCUCGAACCCAUGUGAAGCCUCUUCGACGAGUCGAGUUGUUUGGGAAUGCAGCUCAAAAUGGGUGGUAAAUUUCAUCUAAAGCUAAAUACUGGCUGGAGACCGAUAGCGCACAAGUAGAGUGAUCGAAAGAUGAAAAGCACUUUGGAAAGAGAGUCAAACAGUACGUGAAAUUGUUGAAAGGGAAGCGCUUGCAACCAGACCUGUCCGUAGGUGAUCAGCCGCUGUUCUCAGUGGUGCACUCGCUCUGCGAUCAGGCCAGCAUCGGUUUCGGCGGCCGGAUAAAGGCCUUGGGAAUGUAGCUUCCUUUUGGGGGAGUCUUAUAGCCCUCGGUGCAAUGCGGCCAGCCGGGACCGAGGACCGCGCUUCGGCUAGGAUGCUGGCGUAAUGGUUGUAA